UUUAUAAGAAAAAACCUUAAACCAUCUCGAACUAAGAAGUGAAACUUAUAAAAGGUGAAAAUACUGAAAGGGAGGCCUUUUGGGAAAAUAACUUAAUGCU
rnacentral:rRNA from 1 species